AGUGAACGCUGGCGGUAGGCCUAACACAUGCAAGUCGAACGGCAGCACAGUAAGAGCUUGCUCUUACGGGUGGCGAGUGGCGGACGGGUGAGGAAUACAUCGGAAUCUACUUUUUCGUGGGGGAUAACGUAGGGAAACUUACGCUAAUACCGCAUACGACCUACGGGUGAAAGCAGGGGAUCUUCGGACCUUGCGCGAUUGAAUGAGCCGAUGUCGGAUUAGCUAGUUGGCGGGGUAAAGGCCCACCAAGGCGACGAUCCGUAGCUGGUCUGAGAGGAUGAUCGGCCACACUGGAACUGAGACACGGUCCAGACUCCUACGGGAGGCAGCAGUGGGGAAUAUUGGACAAUGGGCGCAAGCCUGAUCCAGCCAUACCGCGUGGGUGAAGAAGGCCUUCAGGUUGUAAAGCCCUUUUGUUGGGAAAGAAAAGCAGCAGGUUAAUACCCCGCUGUUCUGACGGUACCCAAAGAAUAAGCACCGGCUAACUUCGUG
rnacentral:rRNA from 1 species